CCGCCAUCAAAGAGGCACAAACGGGCACUGGAGGGGGUCGUCUGCCAGGCUUCCGUGGUCGCGUGUUGCAACUCACCGGGUUGGCACGCUUCGGUGGCGUCUUCGGUUCCCUCGAAUAUCAACAGCAGGCGGAUGUUCCCGCUCCUGCAAUGGAGGUCGAGGUGGA